rnacentral:rRNA from 1 species
GUGGGUAGCGGUGAAAUUCCAAUCGAGCCCGGAGAUAGCUGGUUCUCCCCGAAAUAGCUUUAGGGCUAGCCUCAAGGUGAGAGAGACGGAGGUAGAGCACUGAAUGUCCUAGGGGGUAUUGCACCUACCGAAGACUAUCAAACUCCGAAUGCCGUCAUCUUAUACUUGGGAGUCAGACUGUGGGUGAUAAGAUUCAUAGUCGAAAGGGCAACAGCCCAGAUCGUCAGCUAAGGUCCCUAAAUGUAAGUUAAGUGGUAAAGGAUGUGGGAUUGCACAGACAACCAGGAUGUUGGCUUAGAAGCAGCCACUCAUUCAAAGAGUGCGUAAUAGCUCACUGGUCGAGUGAUCCUGCGCCGAAGAUUUCCGGGGCUAAAACUUACUACCGAAGCUACGGCAUCAGUAAUGAUGGGUAGGGGAGCUUCCCAUACGGGUUGAAGCAUGACCGUAAGGACAUGUGGACAGUAUGGGAGUGAGAAUGUUGGCAUGAGUAGCGAGAUGUGGGUG